AGAAACUUAGGAUAAUUAAGACCAAGUGCCUUCAAAGCUCUAAGUAGAAGUUUAAAUCUUCUAGUUUCUG
rnacentral:tRNA from 1 species